CCCAAAUCUCAUCGUGGUUCUGAGGCCUGGUGGGCAGGCUGGGGGCUGAUCUUCUGCUUUGUCCCCACCUCAGCCUCCCUGUCCCAAUGUGGUGUGGCAGGCCCAAGCUGGUUCCUCAGUAUCCAUUUGGGCAAACACGUGGCUCAGCAGAUGGGAAGAGAGAUGUGAGCACCUGGGGAGAGAUGUGGAAUCAGCAUCAGGAAAGAAGGUUUCGAUUUUCCUGUUGUCCUCGAUAGAGUUCCUUACAUUUAGCCUGAAUCAAGAUUUACUGAGGUCAAUGGGAAUAUCUCUGUUGGGGUCAUGAACUCUUUGAAGGAUCAAAUCUUUGGUUUCUUCAUGCUGCUCGGAAGCCCAACGGUAUCAAGUCCAAGAUAAUAUCUCAAGCAUGUGAAGAUAGUUAAAACAAAGUAAGUAACGACUGUAGCCAAAUCGUAACUCAUUUUAGCAGAGCACUUUGUGAGUAACAGAACCCUACAAGAAUACUUGGGUGUGUCUGAGUCAACCAGUUCUGGAAAUCCUAUGAUGUGCAGCUGCAGAAACUACACAGAUUCUUGAAAAAUUGUCAACAAAACCUGAAACGACCCUAAGGGUUUUUAAUACAAAUUUGUCAAAAUUUCUUGAAAGUAAUGUUUCCUGAGUUAUAUACAAGCUCUGUCCAGCUUACUAAUAAAUCACAUUGCCCAGUAACUCAUGAUAAGUAGGCUAAAAGUGCUACAGUGACUACCUUGUUUGCCUGAUCUUCUUAAGGCAACAUUAACCUUCUUUUUAGACUUGACAUUUAACAAAACAUUAUAAAUAUUAUAACCACUUGUGAAUAUGCAUACUCUGGACUGUAGGAAAUCAGGUUGGCAUUUAUUGUCAGGCUUCCAUCCAAAAACAUACGAGAUAAUUUGCAUUAUAUGGCUAUUGGCACUACAGAGUGACAAGUUGGAAGAGGUAUUUUGAGAGCAGUUCCAGAGUUGCCUUAAACACUUGUUCGAAGUGAGAAAACAGAUGUGAUAUAAUGAUAGUUGUUUUGCUUUUAUUGUGAAAGAGAAUACAAGCUUGUGAUUACUGAUUGGAUAUGAAAUAAAACUUUAUGGCUGUAUGAACCGGACAUAGCAUGUCAGCAAUCAAACAGGAUGCCAGGGAAGCAUUGCAUAUUAGCUCUGUAAAAAGAAUCAAAGUACAGUUAAUCACAGUUUCUGACAAUACAAAAAUGAGAGGGUACUGAUUAAAAUGAUCAAAUUUAGAAUUAAAUCCACAACAAAGAGUCAGUGGCAGAACUUCAUUUCCGUAGGAUAUUGUGGAUACAAGAAGUAGAAAAGAUUCAUUAAAGGAUCAGAAAAAUGCAUUCAGGGAUAUUCAUGUAUGGAGACAGAGUGUGGUCGUCUGAAUUCUGGCUGCCAUAGAGGAAAUCUGCAAACAUCUAGUUGUUGGAAAUAUUAAGACAUUAUCAGGUUAGGGCUUGCUCCAAACAGUGUAUUUUUACUUUUUUUUUUUUUUUUUUUUUUUCAUAAGUAUUAACUUUUGGUGACCACAGAGAGAUUACAUUAGCACAGUAUGGACAUUUUGGCUUCCUUGGUGCGUGCCUAUAAAGUGAACUCGUAUGUCAUUUUUUGACAAUAUGCUGACAUCUUUUUCUACUUUUUUCUUCACUCAUUUAUUCUUCUCUGCCUUUUGGAUGGAAAAUCCCUCCUGCAUGGGCCAGGUUAUACUGGAUAUCUCAUACAGAAAAGUAUCCUAUUUCAUACAUAACUUACUCAUGUUGCUGAAGCAUGAAGUUCAGCGUCCAGGAAUGAAGGAGGAAGAUGAUUGAACCUACAUGAUAUGAGGCUCUUAACACAUUUUUGAAUGCACUUUGAGGAGCCCUUGUGAUUAUAUAACAGUUCUCAAGAGGAAGCUGCUAACAAGCCCAUCUGAUAUUUUGUGCCAGCUGUUUCAGUGGAGGCGUGUUGGACUGGAGUGAACUCCGCCUUCUUUGACAAGCAAAGGUUGCUUCGCUUCUGUGGCGCAGUUACUUCAGUUGAUGCAGAACAAUCUGGAAAGUACAUUUACAUGGAAAACCAAAGUAUUGCACUUUGACUACAGUUUUUAUAUCAGUAGAAAGGACAUUGGUAUUGCCAGUAGAAAGAAAAGUGAACUUUGACUGUGAGUGUUGGUCAGAAAAAUGUCGGAGGAAGAGCAUAAGGACAGCAAUCUACAGUUGGACCAAAGGUUGUUCCAAGACUUUGUAUCUGAUAGCAGUCAGCAGAAUAUCCUUAUGGACAAGUGUAAGAAGCAGGGCAAGUAUAGAAUUAUUCUUUCUGCUGGUAUACUUUCCCAGCUUCUGACAGUCAGCAGUUUCGGGACUCCCUGUGCCGAAGUUGCAUCUUAACCAUUGUUUUUAUGAACCACUGAGUGCGGAAGCAACAAUAGGAACAAUGGAUCACUGUUCAGCAUCAGUGGCAACUGCGCUUAGAAAUAAGUAACAGUGCCACUUCAAAAUGCUUGACAUGGACAACAGAAAGAGAAGAGCCAGGAAAUUAUAGCAGCACUAAAGCCACACCCAUGGCCAGAGGCAACAUCUCACAGCUCCUCCAAGUUGUGAACUCCUUGGGAGCUGAGAAUCCCUACCGUGCAGAGAGCGAAGCAUUUGAAAAGUGACAGAGCCUGAAGAAAAAGAGAAUUCAAAAUCUGGUGCUGAAUUUUCUCCUGGACCAGUCUGUUCUUCUGUAUCCAUGAACAAGUAGCUAAAUCAUUUCCACAUAGGAAAUGAUUUCCAUAAGUCAUGGAAGCAUCUUUGAAGGGAGACAGUGGAAAAUUGAUCCUUUGAGAAAUAUAAAAAUAUACUAAAAAAACUAUAAGAAGAUGUUCCACAAGAAAGAAGCAUAUUUUGGAAAGACCUAUGAUCAACUCCUGUGUGAAGAGAUUAAGGAUCCUGACCUGUUUCUAGGACAAUCUUCUAAGAAUGGUGGUGAAACAUAAAGAAUUGUAACCUGUUUCAGAGAUUUUCUCUAUGAUGAACUGUUAAAAGAGGUGGGGUACCCAGAAAUAAAGUGGGAAAAAAAAGAAGCAACUGACCAAUAAUCUACCUAGAAAGUUACUGAAAGCCUUUAAAAAAGUUAAGAACUCAGAGGAUGAAAGAAAAAAACUAAAACUUCACAUAUUUUAAGAGAACUAUUAAGUCACAGCCUGAACUGGUAAUUGAACACCUGGUGAAGAUGAGUGGUUGUCCCAGGAAGAGCAGAUGCAAGCAAUUCACCUGUACUUUCCACGUGACUGCAAGGGGUUGACCCCUCCCUAGGCUCAUUUAAGGGCUGGCUUCCAAAAGAACUUUUCCUGGAUGUAGGCUAUUUCCUGAGAUGGAUCGUUUUGUAGCUAGAUGUCCUUAUCAUCAGUCAGAUGGAGAGACAAGAGAUAGCAAGAGAGGCCUGCAGAUAAAAAGAAAAAAUAUUAAUUAAACUAAAUUCCAAAGCCACAAAAUGAUUGACUUUCACUGGCAUGAGCUUUGCAAGCCCCAAAACAAUACUUUAAAGUGUUUAAUUUUUUCACAUCAAUUUUAAUUAAGCUCUCAUUAGGCUCUUGUGCCCCUAGAAUUUGGCAGACAAAAGAAGCUAGCUUGCCCAGCGAGUUUCCCAAGCUUGCACAGAUCUAUUCCUAAGGAGAUUUAUCGCAUUUUUUUCCUCCCCUUGAAAGAACCUUACAUGAACCAAUUCAAAUGAAAAACACAUGGACUAAAAAAGACUUCAUCAUGCCAGAUACCUUUUUAUAUCCAAAGCAGUGAACUUGUAGUCAGUUUGUCCUUUCAUGUGUUGUUUUUUCUGGCUUUCGGACCUAAGAAUGAUUUUUUACUACGUGCAGUAGUAAAACAACAUAUUAUGCAAUUCUAUUUUUCAAGGAGAACACUAUGUAAUUCAUAGGCUUUGCAAUGCCACAUUUUCUGUUCAACAAAUACAUAAAGUGACUUCUUUUCCCCUUAUGGGGAGACUUCAAGAAAUUUAUAUUCAACAAAUGGUAUUCCAGUUUACCUAACUUGAUUUUUUUGGAGUUUUAACUAUUUCAGAAGUGAUUGUAUAGUGUGAAAACAAGCAGCUUACAAACUGCAUUUUCAUCUCUGAUUUUGAAGAACUUAGCAGGUGGGACAGGUGAAAACAGAACAUGACAUGACCUGGUCGCAGCUCAAUGGAUCUGACAAAAGAAAGGCCUUUCCAUAAAGUCCACAUCAUGGAUUAGCUUUGUUAAAAUAAUUUGCCAGAAAUAUACUCACUGGCUUUAAAGAUGGUAGCAUCUUCCAAAGAAAGCUUUCAUAACACUUUUGUUUUCUUACAGCCAGUCUACAAAAGAAGGGUUGGUACAAUUACUAAGAACAUUCUAAAAAUUGCUGUCUUUAGCUUCAAAUAAACAGCAGUAAUUCCAGA